rnacentral:rRNA from 1 species
AGUGAACGCUGGCGGUAGGCCUAACACAUGCAAGUCGAACGGCAGCACAGUAAGAGCUUGCUCUUACGGGUGGCGAGUGGCGGACGGGUGAGGAAUACAUCGGAAUCUACUUUUUCGUGGGGGAUAACGUAGGGAAACUUACGCUAAUACCGCAUACGACCUACGGGUGAAAGCAGGGGAUCUUCGGACCUUGCGCGAUUGAAUGAGCCGAUGUCGGAUUAGCUAGUUGGCGGGGUAAAGGCCCACCAAGGCGACGAUCCGUAGCUGGUCUGAGAGGAUGAUCAGCCACACUGGAACUGAGACACGGUCCAGACUCCUACGGGAGGCAGCAGUGGGGAAUAUUGGGCAAUGGGCGCAAGCCUGAUCCAGCCAUACCGCGUGGGUGAAGAAGGCCUUCGGGUUGUAAAGCCCUUUUGUUGGGAAAGAAAAGCAGCAGGUUAAUACCCCGCUGUUCUGACGGUACCCAGAGAAUAAGCACCGGCUAACUUCGUG